AGUGAACGCUGGCGGUAGGCCUAACACAUGCAAGUCGAACGGCAGCACAGUAAGAGCUUGCUCUUACGGGUGGCGAGUGGCGGACGAGUGAGGAAUACAUCGGAAUCUACUUUUUCGUGGGGGUUAACGUAGGGAAACUUACGCUAAUACCGCAUACGACCUACGGGUGAAAGCAGGGGAUCUUCGGACCUUGCGCGAUUGAAUGAGCCGCUGUCGGAUUAGCUAGUUGGCGGGGUAAAGGCCCACCAAGGCGACGAUCCGUAGCUGGUCUGAGAGGAUGAUCGGCCACACUGGAGCUGAGACACGGUCCAGACUCCUACGGGAGGCAGCAGUGGGGAAUAGUGGACAGUGGGCGCAAACCUGAUCCAGCCAUACCGCGUGGGUGAAGGAGGCGUUCGGGUUGUGAAGCCCUUUUGUUGGGAAAGAAAAGCAGCAGGUUAAUACCACGCUGUUCUGACGGUAACCAAAGAAUAAGCACCGGCUAACUUCGUG
rnacentral:rRNA from 1 species